AUACUAGUGCCAGAAUAUAUGGGUGGGCUUUAAGCGCCUAUUAUGAAGUUUUAUUCUUCCUUGUAUA
rnacentral:tRNA from 1 species